GUUUAUUUAAGCUUGAUAAAGGCUCUGUUAGUGAAUCGAAUGUUGCUAAUCGUUAUCCAUUAAAUCUGCCUAAAUUUUAUAUACUUUUAUAACUAUUUUAUAAAAGUCUCCUUUUCUGUCUGACCCAACUUUUAUGCCUUUUAGGCUGACACAGCUGAAAUGUAAUAAUAAACACUUCAUUUAUAAUUAUGUGUUUAACCCCUUAAGGACACAUGACAUGUGUGACAUGUCAUGAUUCCCUUUUAUUCCAGAAGUUUGGUCCUUAAGGGGUUAAAUAUGGAUAGUAGAGAUAUUGGGGUACACAUUCUAUACCCUUGUAUACAUGUUUACUGCACCAUAUUGAU